rnacentral:rRNA from 1 species
GAUGAACGCUGGCGGCGUGCCUAAUACAUGCAAGUCGAGCGAACGGACGAGAAGCUUGCUUUUCUGAUGUUAGCGGCGGACGGGUGAGUAACACGUGGAUAACCUACCUAUAAGACUGGGAUAACUUCGGGAAACCGGAGCUAAUACCGGAUAAUAUUUUGAACCGCAUGGUUCAAAAGUGAAAGACGGUCUUGCUGUCACUUAUAGAUGGAUCCGCGCUGCAUUAGCUAGUUGGUAAGGUAACGGCUUACCAAGGCAACGAUGCAUAGCCGACCUGAGAGGGUGAUCGGCCACACUGGAACUGAGACACGGUCCAGACUCCUACGGGAGGCAGCAGUAGGGAAUCUUCCGCAAUGGGCGAAAGCCUGACGGAGCAACGCCGCGUGAGUGAUGAAGGUCUUCGGAUCGUAAAACUCUGUUAUUAGGGAAGAACAUAUGUGUAAGUAACUGUGCACAUCAUGACGGUACCUAAUCAGAAAGCCACGGCUAACUACGUG